rnacentral:rRNA from 1 species
GGGUUGUGAGGUUAAGCGACCAAGCGUACACGGUGGAUGCCCUGGCAGUCAGAGGCGAUGAAGGACGUGCUAAUCUGCGAAAAGCGCCGGUAAGGUGAUAUGAACCGUUAUAACCGGCGAUGUCCGAAUGGGGAAACCCAGUGUGACUCGUCACACUAUCAUUAACUGAAUCCAUAGGUUAAUGAGGCGAACCGGGGGAACUGAAACAUCUAAGUACCCCGAGGAAAAGAAAUCAACCGAGAUUCCCCCAGUAGCGGCGAGCGAACGGGGAGGAGCCCAGAGCCUGAAUCAGCAUGUGUGUUAGUGGAAGCGUCUGGAAAGGCGCGCGAUACAGGGUGAGAGCCCCGUACACAAAAGCGCAUGUGCUGUGAGCUCGAUGAGUAGGGCGGGACACGUGGUAUCCUGUCUGAAUAUGGGGGGACCAUCCUCCAAGGCUAAAUACUCCUGACUGACCGAUAGUGAACCAGUACCGUGAGGGAAAGGCGAAAAGAACCCCGGCGAGGGGAGUGAAACAGAACCUGAAACCGUGUACGUACAAGCAGUGGGAGCCCCACCACUAAGCCAGUGGUGAACUCCACAUACGCAUCCUUUGCU